rnacentral:rRNA from 1 species
UACGUAGGGGGCGAGCGUUGUCCGGAUUUAUUGGGCGUAAAGAGCGUGUAGGUGGCCAGGUAGGUCUGCUGUGAAAACUCGAGGCUCAACCUCGAGACGUCGGCGGAAACCAUCUGGCUAGAGUCCGGAAGAGGAGAGUGGAAUUCCUGGUGUAGCGGUGAAAUGCGUAGAUAUCUGGAGGAACACCGGUGGCGAAGGCGGCAUCCUGGACCGGUAUUGACGCUGAGGCGCGAAAGCCAGGGGAGCAAACGGG